rnacentral:rRNA from 1 species
CACGUAGGCGGAUAUUUAAGUCAGGGGGUGAAAUCCCAGAGCUCAACUCUGGAACUGCCUUUGAUACUGGGUAUCUUGAGUAUGGAAGAGGUAAGUGGAAUUCCGAGUGUAGAGGUGAAAUUUGUAGAUAUUCGGAGGAACACCAGUGGCGAAGGCGGCUUACUGGUCCAUUACUGACGCUGAGGUGCGAAAGCGUGGGGAGCAAACA